GAGAUUGAGCAUCUCCAGCUGUUGUUGGAGAAGACCAAGGUGAAGAUCCAGAGGGACUUCAGGCAGUGGUGGAGCCACUGGGGGGCGCCGCAUGUGGAGGAACCAAAGUCUGAGGCCACAGCUGCUCGUCAUCACACCGUGUCACCACCGGGGGCGUUAGAGCCGUGUUCGCCCAUCACUCCAGGAAUAAAGGGCUUCAGUCCUAAAGACGUUCCUCCCAUCACUCCUCA